CGUAUCCGAAUUGCCAAGUACAUACUCAAUCUGUCAGUAGGCAGUAUGCAGUACGUACUAUCCGUGCUGCAUACUGUUAGUACCUACUAUUCAGUAUGCACACACAGUAGGCAGAUAUUUGUUCCUACUUCAUCUGAUUCAUUCAGUAUGGAAGUGACGUCAUUUACGUUACCCAAACCGGCCACCCGUUUUUUUUUGUUUUAAUGCGCAUAUACAGUCAGGUAAACAAAAAACAAUAUCACAAUGUAAAUCAAGUAAAAGACAGAUUAAAUAACUAAAUAACAUACAGUACAUAACGGAAAGAACAAAUGAAAGACAGUAAUAUACAGAAUAUAAAGUAAAAUAAACAAAUAAAGACACAUUUAAAUAGUGACAUCAUUAUUUAAAUAGAGGGGGAAAGGUUUUAUAAUAAUGCAGACAUUUGUUAUAUUUUCUGUUGUUAAUUAAAAGUAGUGAUUUCAGUCGGGACUUUAACUCUAGAUUAAAAAUUGAUUCAAUUAAUCCACGCUCGUUUGUUUUGAUUUGGAGGCGGACGUGACGUGACGAUUUACGUUUAAUUUCGCACAGCAUUGUGGUAUACUGAAACUCCCGACUGAAUAGUACGUACUGCCUACUGAACUGUGACAAUUCGGAAAGGGCCCU